rnacentral:rRNA from 1 species
GACGAACGCUGGCGGCGUGCUUAACACAUGCAAGUCGAACGGAAAGGCCCUGCUUUUGUGGGGUGCUCGAGUGGCGAACGGGUGAGUAACACGUGAGUAACCUUCCCUUUACUUUGUGAUAACUUCAGGAAACUGGGGCUAAUACCUGCUAGGAGCUCCUGCUGCAUGGUGGGGGUUGGAACUUUUCAGCGGUUGGGGAUGGACUCGCGGCUUAUCAGCUUGUUGGUGGGGUAGUGGCUUACCAAGGCUUUGACGGUUAGCCGGCCUGAGAAGGUGACCGGGCACAAGGGGACUGAGAGACGGCGCAGACGGCAACGGGAGGCAGCAGGGGGGAAUAUUGAACAAUGGGCGGAAGCCUGAGGAAGCAACGCCGCGUGCGGGAUGAAGGCCUUCGGGUUGGAAACCGCUUUCGCCUGUGACGAAGCGGGAGUGACGGUAAUGGGUAAAGAAGCACCGGCUAACUACGUG